rnacentral:rRNA from 1 species
GGGGCGGGAGAGGUUGAGGGUACUUCGCGGGUAGGGGCGAAAUCCUAUAAUCCGCGAAGGACCACCAGUGGCGAAGGCGCUCAACUGGAACGCGCCCGACGGUGAGGGACGAAAGCCAGGGGAGCAAAGGGGAUUAGAUACCCCCGUAGUCCUGGCUGUAAACGAUGCGGGCUAGGUGUUGGGUUGGCUUCGUGCCAACCCGGUGCCGCAGUGAAGACGAUAAGCCCGCCGCCUGGGAAGUACGGCUGCAAGGCUGAAACUUAAAGGAAUUGGCGGGGGAGCACCACAAGGGGUGAAGCCUGCGGUUUAAUUGGAGUCAACGCCGGGAAUCUUAC